AUAACAGGUCUGUGAUGCCCUUAGAUGUUCUGGGCUGCACGCGCGCUACACUGAUGCGGUCAAUGAGUCAUUAACCUGUCCUGGGAAGGUUUGGUAAUCUUGUCAAAGCGCAUCGUGAUGGGGAUAGAUUAUUGCAAUUAUUAAUCUUCAACGAGGAAUUCCUAGUAAGCGUGAGUCAUCAGCUCAUGUUGAUUACGUCCCUGCCCUUUGUACACACCGCCCGUCG
rnacentral:rRNA from 1 species